ensembl:lncRNA
GAGCUCCCCACUGUGGAGCCUGGAGAGGUGCCUGGAGGAGCUGCCGAGGGGGGACCCCCGCUCACCCAGGACCCCCAGCAGCAUUGAGGGGCACCAGGCAGAGCUGGGGGGGCUGUGCUCGCGUGGAGCUGGGAGUGUUGGGCACAGCCCCCUGCAAGGGCUGCUCGACUGCCUGAGGGCCAUCACCAUCCCAACGACACUGUGCCGUUCCCCACUGGGGGCUUCCCGUGGCACAUGGGGGGCUGUGGAGCCAACUGCCUUGAGGAGUGGGGGCCAGAGCCCCUCUGCAGCAGGGAAAGCCCUGGUGACACCACACUUCCACCAAAUGGAGAUCUCAAAGUGGACGAGCAUGAACAUGUCCAUUGGGGACAGUGGGACAGAGGAGCAGAGGGGGCUGGAGAUAAGCCCAGUGCUGGAGGAGGCCCCGCUGCGCAGUCUGCUCCGGUGUCUGAGGGCUGUGGCAGUGCAGGUGCCGUGCCGGGACCCUGUGGGUGCUGCGUUGGCACUGAGUGGUGCUGAGGCAUCACCCCGACAUUACCCCAAUGCAGGGACCACGGUGAGCCCUGCAGAGAGCCGUGUGCCGGGGGACAGCCGCCCUGAUGGCAGCACGUGGCCGUGUGCCCGUGUCCCCACCAUGGGGACAACGACCAAGAGACCCUCCUUGGGUGGCACCAAUCGCUCACCCUGCAGCUCCCGCAGCGCGGCCAUGGGGGCACUCGGGGCCACGGCCCCUCUGGGCUCCAGCGCUCAUCUCAGGGCUUGUCCUGGGGGGGUCCCCGCAUCCCCAUGGGAGCGCUGUGGCUGUGGGGGAACCGUGAAGCUGCAGGCGGAGGUGGCACAGCUGUGCACCGUUGUGGCAGAGGAGCUGCACCGACUGCGCCGGGACGUGGGCACGGCACAGCGGGAGGUGUUGGGUGUGCGCAGCCGCUUGGCACGGCUGGAGCAGGGGGCACCAGGCCGGGCACGG